rnacentral:lncRNA from 1 species
UGCUUUUUUGGUCAUGGUGUUUCAUCGCUGCAAUAGAAACCCUAAGAUAGCAAGCACAUUAGAACGUCCUCGGCAAGGGUCUGGUAUCUGUACCCUAGACAGGCUGACAGGGAUUACUUGGAGGCAACCCAAGUUCCAGGUCCUGCUCUUCCUCACGCGCAACCAGCAUCAAAGGGAGCUUUGCUGGGUGAUCCCCUCCAAGGAGCCACGGGGGUGGCCAUCCCACAGUUUCAUCCUCCUUCUGGCCCACGCCCCCUCUGAACAAACACUCCACCCAAUCCCACCCGCAACCUCCCAGAGCGGACAAGCAGCCAGGUUCCGGGCCCAAGUGGCCACCGCCCCCUCGCUCCGCCCCCUAUGCGGGUCACCGCCCCGAGCCGACGCCUGCCCCGGGCGCUGCUCCUCCUCCUCCUGGCUGUCCCUGGCUCUUUGAGUUAGGGAACGCGAGUGGGAGCUCCACGCGUUCCUCUAGGAGUCUUCUGUGCUGCCCUUGUGGGACUCACAACCCAGGCUUCAAGCAGGCAGUACAGGACCAGGACCAGGACCAGGCCCCAGUGACAGAGCUCAGACCUACGAGGGUUUUCUGUGGUUUUGUUUUUGUGGCCCUGGAUGUCCUGGAAUUCAGCUCAGGAGACUAUAACUGGCCUCGAACUCACUAAGAUCCACCUGCCUCUGCUUCCUGAGAGCUGGGAUUAAAGGUGUGUGCCAUGACUUCCGGCUUCUGAGUUUUACAGAAUGUGUUCUCAGUGUUUGAAGUAGAGAACACAGGUUGUUGAGCUAGAACUGGGUGUCUAUUCGGAUUUUUUUUUUUUUUAACUUCCCAUAUCCUAGGAACCAAACCCUGCUAGUGCAUGCUCGCCAAGAACUCCACACCACUGAACAACAUCCCCAGACCAAGAUUUCUAAUCAUGACUCUAUUUCUUUCUUGUACCUUCACCUCCUCCUGUGUAAAAAGUAUAUAUGUUUGCCUAUGAAUAUAAUUAUGUCUCGUUUAAUAAAUUCUUGAUACAUUUAUCUCUUGUUCCCUCGUUGAACACACUAAUCCCCUGCUUCAUUCCAUAAACUAAAGUUGUUUUAGAUUUUAGAGAUUUACCUGUGAACAAAAUAAGUCGCCACCUUCGUGAAC